AUAAUUUGCAUAAUUAAGCCGGAGAUAGCAGGUGCGUAUAGCUUAAUAUCCUGCCGAGGUUGUAAUUUUAACUGACUGAAGUAAUUCCACAUCCGUUAACCAGACGUGGGAACUACAGCAUUAAAAAUACUACUAUGAAACCCCGGCCAAGAUCGCUGGGGUUUGUUGUUUUCGGU
rfam:Raphidiopsis brookii D9 D9_1811, whole genome shotgun sequence.